rnacentral:rRNA from 1 species
UACGUAGGGCGCAAGCGUUGUCCGGAAUUAUUGGGCGUAAAGAGCUCGUAGGCGGUCUGUUACGUCCGCUGUGAAAACCCAGGGCUUAACCCUGGGCUUGCAGUGGAUACGGGUAGACUAGAGGCAGGUAGGGGAGAAUGGAAUUCCCGGUGUAGCGGUGAAAUGCGCAGAUAUCAGGAGGAACACCGAUGGCGAAGGCAGGUCUCUGGGCCACUACUGACGCUGAGAAGCGAAAGCAUGGGGAGCGAACAGG